rnacentral:rRNA from 1 species
AGAGUUUGAUCGUGGCUCAGAAUCAACGCUGGCGGCGUGCCUCAGACAUGCAAGUCGAACGAUUAAAGCUCCCUUCGGGGAGUGCAUAAAGUGGCGCACGGGUGAGUAACACGUAAGUAAUCUACCUUCGAGUGGGGAAUAACAGUCGGAAACGGCUGCUAAUACCGCAUAAUGCAGCGGCAUCGCAAGAUGACAGUUGUUAAAGAUUUAUCGCUUGAAGAGGAGCUUGCGGCAGAUUAGCUAGUUGGUAAGGUAAUGGCUUACCAAGGCUACGAUCUGUAACCGGUCUAAGAGGACGGUCGGUCACACUGACACUGAAUAACGGGUCAGACUCCUACGGGAGGCAGCAGUCGGGAAUUUUGGGCAAUGGGGGAAACCCUGACCCAGCAACGCCGCGUGAAGGAUGAAGUAUUUCGGUAUGUAAACCUCGAAAGAAUAGGAAGAAUUAAUGACGGUACUAUUUAUAAGGUCCGGCUAACUACGUGCCAGCCGCCGCCGU